UAAUUUCCUGGAGACGAGCCUGAGCGCCA
rnacentral:piRNA from 1 species